GACGAACGCUGGCGGCGUGCCUAAUACAUGCAAGUUGAGCGAUGAAGCUUGGUGCUUGCACCCAUUUGAAGAGCAGCGAACGGGUGAGUAAAGCGUGGGGAAUCUGCCUUUGAGCGGGGGACAACAUUUGGAAACGAAUGCUAAUACCGCAUAACAACUUUAAACAUAAGUUUUAAGUUUGAAAGAUGCAAUUGCAUCACUCAAAGAUGAUCCCGCGUUGUAUUAGCUAGUUGGUGAGGUAAAGGCUCACCAAGGCGAUGAUACAUAGCCGACCUGAGAGGGUGAUCGGCCACAUUGGGACUGAGACACGGCCCAAACUCCUACGGGAGGCAGCCGUAGGGAAUCUUCGGCAAUGGACGAAAGUCUGACCGAGCAACGCCGCGUGAGUGAAGAAGGUUUUCGGAUCGUAAAACUCUGUUGGUAGAGAAGAACGUUGGUGAGAGUGGAAAGCUCAUCAAGUGACGGUAACUACACAGAAAGGGACGGCUAACUACGUG
rnacentral:rRNA from 1 species